rnacentral:rRNA from 1 species
UGAGGUGUGGAUAGGGGAGAAAUUCCAAUCGAACCCGGAGAUAGCUGGUUCUCCUCGAAAUAGCUUUAGGGCUAGCCCCGUAUUAGUUUAGCGGAGGUAGAGCACUGAAUUCCUAAGGGGGCGUCAAAGCUUACCAAGGGAUAUCAAACUCCGAAUGCCGCAUAAAUGAUGUACGGGAGUCAGACUGCACGAGAUAAGUUGGGCAGUCAAAAGGGAAAGAGCCCAGACCUACAGCUAAGGUCCCAAAGUGUGUGUUAAGUGGAAAAGGAUGUGGGAUUUCAGAGACAACUAGGAUGUUGGCUUAGAAGCAGCCACACAUUCAAAGAGUGCGUAAUAGCUCACUAGUCGAGAGGUCCUGCGCCGAAAAUGUCCGGGGCUGAAACACAACACCGAAGCUUAGGAAUGUAGAAAUACAUUGGUAGAGGAGCAUUCUUAAAGGAAUGAAGCAGUACCGGUAAGGAGCUGUGGACUUUUAAGAAGAGAGAAUGCCGGAAUGAGUAGCGAGAUGGAGGUGGGAAUCCUCCAGGCCGAAUAUCCAAGGUUUCCAGAGUAAAGCUGAUCUGCUCUGGGUAAGUCGGGGCCUAAGGUAAGGCUGAGAAGCGUAGCCGAUGGACAACAGGUUGAGAUUCCUGUACCGCGUAUCAUCAGAACUGUGGGGACACAGAAGGACAGCACAUCCCGGGAAUGGAAAGACCGGGGCAAGCAGGGUAGGAGUUAAGCUGGCAAAUCCGCUUAACAAUCCGAAGCUGUGAUGCGGAGCGAAUUUAAGUAGCGAAGUGUGCGAUUCCAGCUGUCAAGAAAAGCCGCUAUUGUGUGAUACGUGCCCGUACCGUAAACCGACACAGGUAGAUGAGGAGAGAAUCCUAAGGCCGGCGGGAGAAGCAUUGUUAAGGAACUCGGCAAAAUGACCCUGUAACUUCGGGAGAAAGGGUGCCUGGGAAACCAGGCCGCAGAGAAUAGGCUCAAGCAACUGUUUAGCAAAAACACAGGUCUAUGCAAAACCGUAAGGUGAGGUAUAUGGGCUGACGCCUGCCCGGUGCUGGAAGGUUAAGAGGAGAGGUUAGAGCAAUCGAAGCUUUGAAUUGAAGCCCCAGUAAACGGCGGCCGUAACUAUAACGGUCCUAAGGUAGCGAAAUUCCUUGUCGGGUAAGUUC